CCUACGGGGGGCAGCAGUGAGGAAUAUUGGUCAAUGUACGAGAGUCUGAACCAGCCAAGUAGCGUGAAGGAUGACUGCCCUAUGGGUUGUAAACUUCUUUUAUAUGGGAAUAAAAUGUUCCACGUGUGGGAUUUUGUAUGUACCAUAUGAAUAAGGAUCGGCUAACUCCGUGCCAGCAGCCGCGGUAAUACGGAGGAUCCGAGCGUUAUCCGGAUUUAUUGGGUUUAAAGGGAGCGUAGGUGGAUUGUUAAGUCAGUUGUGAAAGUUUGCGGCUCAACCGUAAAAUUGCAGUUGAAACUGGCAGUCUUGAGUACAGUAGAGGUGGGCGGAAUGCGUGGUGUAGCGGUGAAAUGCUUAGAUAUCACGAAGAACUCCGAUUGCGAAGGCAGUUCACUGGACUGCAACUGACACUGAGGCUCGAAAGUGUGGGUAUCAAACAGGAUUAGAUACCCCAGUAGUC
rnacentral:rRNA from 1 species